GGAUACGGCCAUACUGCGCAGAAAGCACCGCUUCCCAUCCGAACAGCGAAGUUAAGCUGCGCCAGGCGUGCGCCAGGCGGUGUUAGUACUGGGGUGGGCGACCACCCGGGAAUCCACCGUGCCGUAUCCU
rnacentral:rRNA from 1 species